rnacentral:rRNA from 1 species
ACUACGUGCCAGCAGCCGCGGUAAUACGUAGGUGGCAAGCGUUAUCCGGAAUUAUUGGGCGUAAAGCGCGCGUAGGCGGUUUUUUAAGUCUGAUGUGAAAGCCCACGGCUCAACCGUGGAGGGGCAUUGGAAACUGGAAAACUUGAGUGCAGAAGAGGAAAGUGGAAUUCCAUGUGUAGCGGUGAAAUGCGCAGAGAUAUGGAGGAACACCAGUGGCGAAGGCG